rnacentral:misc_RNA from 1 species
CUGGGUCACCUCCCACCCGUGUUUAUUUACCUUGUUGCUUCGGCGGGCCCGCCUUAACUGGCCGCCGGGGGGCUCACGCCCCCGGGCCCGCGCCCGCCGAAGACACCCCGAACUCUGCCUGAAGAUUGUCGUCUGAGUGAAAAUAUAAAUUAUUUAAAACUUUCAACAACGGAUCUCUUGGUUCCGGCAUCGAUGAAGAACGCAGCGAAAUGCGAUACGUAAUGUGAAUUGCAAAUUCAGUGAAUCAUCGAGUCUUUGAACGCACAUUGCGCCCCCUGGUUUUCCGGGGGGCAUGCCUGUCCCAGCAACAUUGCUACCCUUUGUCGAAGGUUUUGAGUAUUGCCUUUUUUCACUCAUAACGGGUCUUCAUGCAAAGUUCCGGGGUGUCUUCGGCGGGUUGCGGGCCCGGGUGCGU